GACGAACGCUGGCGGCGUGCUUAACACAUGCAAGUCGAACGGAAAGGCCCUGCUUUUGUGGGGUGCUCGAGUGGCGAACGGGUGAGUAACACGUGAGUAACCUGCCCUUGACUUUGGGAUAACUUCAGGAAACUGGGGCUAAUACCGGAUAGGAGCUCCUGCUGCAUGGUGGGGGUUGGAAAGUUUCGGCGGUUGGGGAUGGACUCGCGGCUUAUCAGCUUGUUGGUGGGGUAGUGGCUUACCAAGGCUUUGAAGGGUAGCCGGCCUGGGAGGGUGACCGGCCACAUUGGGACUGCGAUACGGCCCAGACUCCUACGGGAGGCAGCAGUGGGGAAUAUUGCACAAUGGGCGGAAGCCUGAUGCAGCAACGCCGCGUGCGGGAUGACGUCCUUCGGGUUGUAAACCGCUUUCGCCUGUGACGAAGCGUGAGUGACGGUAAUGGGUAAAGAAGCACCGGCUAACUACGUG
rnacentral:rRNA from 1 species